GCUGACUCCCAGUCCAGUGCUCGUGAUCCCAGCCGGGCCCUGAACUAGGGGUCUGGAG
rnacentral:pre_miRNA from 1 species